AUGUCCAUCGAGUCGAUGAUGCCAUCCAACCAUCUCAUCAUCUGUGGUCCCCUUCUCCUCCUGCCCUCAAUCUUCCCCAGCAUCAGGGUCUUUUCCAAUGAGUCAGUUCUUCACAACAGGUGGCCAAAGUAUUUGAGUUUCAGCUUUAGCAUCGGUCCUUCCGAUGUAUAUUCAGGACUGAUUUCCUUUAGAAUUUACUGGUUGGAUCUCCUUGCAGUCCAAGGGACUCUCAAGAGUCUUCUCCAACACCACAGCUCAAAAGCAUUAAUUCUUCGAGUCUCAGCUUUCUUUAUAGCCCAGCUCUCACAUCCAUAUGUGACCACUGGAAAAACCAGAGCUUGGACUAGACGGACCUUUGUUGGCAAAGUGAUGUGUCUGCUUUUUAAUAUGCCGUUCCUUACCCCCAUGGAGCUGUGGAAAAUUCUGAAAGAGAUGGGAACACCAGAGCACCUGACCUGCCUCUUGAGAAACCUGUAUGCAGGUCAGGAAGCAACAGUUAGAACUGGACAUGAAACAACAGACUGGUUCCAAAUAGGAAAAGGAGUGCGUCAAGGCUGUAUAUUGUCACGCUGCUUAUUUAACUUCUAUGCAGAGUACAUCAUGAGAAACGCUGGACUGGAAGAAGCACAAGCUGGAAUCAAGACUGCCGGGAGAAAUAUCAAUAACCUCAGAUAUGCAGAUGACACCACCCUUAUGGCAGAAAGUGAAGAGGAACUAAAAAGCCUCUUGAUGAAAGUGAAAGUGGAGAGUGGAAAAGUUGGCUUAAAGCUCAACAUUCAGAAAACAAAGAUCAUGGCAUCCGGUCCCAUCACUUCAUGGGAAAUAGAUGGGGAAAUGGUGGAAACAGUGUCAGACUUUAUUUUUUGGGGCUCCAAAAUCACUGCAGAUGGUGAUUGCAGCCAUGAAAUUAAAAGACGCUUACUCCUUGGAAGAAAAGUUAUGAACAACCUAGAUAGCAUAUUCAAAAGCAGAGACAUUACUUUGCCAACUAAGGUCUGUCUAGUCAAGGCUAUGGUUUUUCCUGUGGUCAUGUAUGGAUGUGAGAGUUGGACUGUGGAGAAAGCUGAGGGCUGA
rnacentral:lncRNA from 1 species